rnacentral:lncRNA from 1 species
GUCUGGGGGACAGCCUCUCCAUCCAUGCUGUCCCCAUGGGGGAACAGCCUUUCCUUUCAUGCUGUCCUCCCAGGGAACUGCUCCCCACCUUGCUGUUCCACCUUGCUAUCCUCCUGGCCACUCUCAACAUUACUUUCUAAAUUAAUAAAUCUCCUUUUGUUUUUAAGCUAAGUUUUGGAGUCAUUGCAUGCUUGCAAAAGGCAUCCUUCCCGAACCCAAAGGCUAUCCUUCCAUGCCCAUAACAUUUUUGAUGCCCAACGUGUUUGGCUUUCCUGAAAGCUACACCUGUACCCCGGAUCGUCCACGAGGACACAACUUCUCAGGUCAAGAAAUCAAUAAAAUAAUAAAUCAAGUCCAGAUUUUUAGAAUUUGCUGAGUUCUUCCAUCAGGGAAAUUGAAGGUCCCAGAAUGAAGAUGCCUGGAAAUAGCUGGAAGACAAAGGUGUUCCAAGCAGAGGAGUGAAUAUAUGAGAACUCCUGGACCUUAAUCUCCACAUCAACCAUUGAGUCAACAUGGAGCCGUAGGCAAGCCAACUCACCAAAUCUGUUCCAUUGUCUCUAAGAUGAAUGGAUAUUAAUACUUCCUGACAUUUGAGAAAGAUUGUAUGGUGUGAU